CGGCGGGCGGGGCGGGGGCACGGGGGGACGGGGCGCAGCAGGGCGCGAAACCUUUACACUGCACGACAGUGCGAUAGGGGGACUCCGAGUGCGAGGGCAUAUAGUCCUCGCUUUUCUGUACCGUAAGGUGGUACAGGAACAAGGACUGGGCAAGACCGGUGCCAGCCGCCGCGGUAAUACCGGCAGUCCGAGUGAUGGCCGAUAUUAUUGGGCCUAAAGCGUCCGUAGCCUGCCGUGUAAGUCCGUUGGGAAAUCGACCAGCUCAACUGGUCGGCGUCCAGCGGAAACUACACGGCUUGGGGCCGAGAGACUCGACGGGUACGUCCGGGGUAGGAGUGAAAUCCUGUAAUCCUGGACGGACCACCAAUGGCGAAAGCACGUCGAGAGACCGGACCCGACGGUGAGGGACGAAAGCUAGGGUCUCGAACCGGAUUAGAUACCCGGGUAGUCCUAGCUGUAAACGAUGCUUGCUAGGUAUGUCACGCGCCAUGAGCACGUGAUGUGCCGUAGUGAAGACGAUAAGCAG
rnacentral:rRNA from 1 species